rnacentral:lncRNA from 1 species
AAUAAUAAUAAUAAGAUAAAAGCAUCAAACAACUAAACUUUUAAAGUAUACAUUUCUUAAAGUACUUUACUUAUAUCUAGUAAAACCUAUCUGAGACUAGGCCAAGAAAAUUCCUAAGUAGUCUUAUAAGUUAUUCCUCCUCUUGUUCUUUUCUUCCUCCUUUCCUGAGAAGGUGAUGUAAUCAGAGAUCUUGGGGUUAUAAAAAAAGGUUUCAUGGCCUUAUCUAGAAGGAAGAUGGACUCCUCAUAUUCCCUUCUAUAGAUCUCUACCACCACAAGGUUCUUAGAGAUCUUCUCUCAUCUUGAUAGGGAUAGACCCUCGGAGUUCAUAUCAAGAAACCAUAAGAUUACAUAACCUCCUCAACUGAAGAAAGCAUUUUGCACUCUGUAUAUCCCAAACUGAACUCAUAUAUCUCUUUUGCUCCCCCAAGCUACUUGUGAAAUGGCCCUGCUCUUUCUCCUACUCACUCACCUUGAUAUCUCAAAAUCAUCCUCGACUCCUCUCUUAACUUGUUCCACCCUGUUCCUUAUCCUCCAUCUUCAUUGCUAUCACUCAAAUUUGAGCCCUCGUGACCUAACUUGUAACCAUAGGUUCAUAAUUGGUUGUGAAAUCGUUCUAGAAUGGCUGUUUUACCAAUUUCCUUAAAAUAUACCUCAGAUCAGGUCAGUCCUCUGCUCCCAGAUCUUUAGCACCAUUCCAUGGUCUGUUAAAUUAUUAUUCCACUCCUAACAUACUUUUUAUUAUCUGACCAUAAUCUCUUUAGUUCAAUCUUAUCUCUCUCAAUUCCUUAGAGUAUAGUCAAAGCCCAUACUUCCUUAUCAAGUUACUGUUGGAUGAACAUGUUAUCUCUUGCAGAAAAAUUUGCUAACUUUUUGCCUACAAAAUCUUUGUGCCAAGGACAGCUUGAAUGUCAUUCUUUUCCAACCACUUCAGCAAACUAUGACUUCUGAACCCUCAUAACAUGUUUUUACUCCUUCAUGACACUUAUUAUGAUUGUUAAUAGUGUAGUACUACUAAGCUCUAGUCUCCAUUGGGGCAGGGAAAGUAUCUUUUCGAAACUCUGUACCUUAUAAGUCAUUAGUUUUGACAUAUAUGUCCUAUAAAUAUUUUUAAUGUUAUUAAA